CCGCGCUCCCAGAUGGGGUCCCAGCCCAGAUCCGGCCACGAAGACACAGGCAACCCCGGCCUGGGUUUCCUGUUCCAUGAGCUCCAGGAAGGCGACAGUGCGAAGGCUGUAGGGACUUUGGUGACUGAAGCUGGAGGAGACGAGGAGAAGAAAAUACGGUCCAAACCCGAGCAGGGAGCUGGAGCAGAAGAAGAAAGUCACUUCUGUGCGGGAGCUGCCGACCCCACGAUCAAGGAUAACCAGA
rnacentral:lncRNA from 1 species